rnacentral:rRNA from 1 species
UACGUAGGUGGCAAGCGUUGUCCGGAAUUACUGGGUGUAAAGGGAGCGCAGGCGGGAAGCCAAGUCAGCUGUGAAAACUACGGGCUUAACUUGUAGACUGCAGUUGAAACUAGUUUUCUUGAGUGAAGUAGAGGUUGGCGGAAUUCCGAGUGUAGCGGUGAAAUGCGUAGAUAUUCGGAGGAACACCGGUGGCGAAGGCGGCCAUCUGGGCUUUAACUGACGCUGAGGCUCGAAAGUGUGGGGAGCAAACAGG